rnacentral:rRNA from 1 species
UCCGUAGGCGGGCGACUAAGUCAGAGGUGAAAUCCCACAGCUUAACUGUGGAACUGCCUUUGAUACUGGUUGUCUUGAGUUAUAGUGAAGUAGAUAGAAUAUGUAGUGUAGCGGUGAAAUGCUUAGAUAUUACACAGAAUACCGAUUGCGAAGGCAGUCUACUACGUAUAUACUGACGCUAAUGGACGAAAGCGUGGGGAGCGAACAGGAUUAGAUACCCUGGUAGUCC